rnacentral:rRNA from 1 species
GAUGAACGCUGGCGGCGUGCCUAAUACAUGCAAGUCGAGCGAACAGACGAGGAGCUUGCUCCUCUGAUGUUAGCGGCGGACGGGUGAGUAACACGUGGAUAACCUACCUAUAAGACUGGGAUAACUUCGGGAAACCGGAGCUAAUACCGGAUAACAUGUUGAACCGCAUGGUUCAACAGUGAAAGACGGUUUUGCUGUCACUUAUAGAUGGAUCCGCGCCGCAUUAGCUAGUUGGUAAGGUAACGGCUUACCAAGGCAACGAUGCGUAGCCGACCUGAGAGGGUGAUCGGCCACACUGGACCUGAGACCCGGUCCAGCCUCCUACGGGAGGCAGCAGUAGGGAAUCUUCCGCAAUGGGCGAAAGCCUGACGGAGCAACGCCGCGUGAGUGAAGAAGGUCUUCGGUUCGUAAAACUCUGUUAUUAGGGAAGAACAAAUGUGUAAGUAACUAUGCACGUCUUGACGGUACCUAAUCAGAAAGCCACGGCUAACUACGU